AGCGAACGCUGGCGGCAGGCCUAACACAUGCAAGUCGAACGAACCUUUCGGGGUUAGUGGCGGACGGGUGAGUAACACGUGGGAACGUGCCUUUAGGUUGGAAUAACUCAGGGAAACUUGUGCUAAUACCGAAUGUGCCCUUCGGGGGAAAGAUUAAUCGCCUUUAGAGCGGCCCGCGUCUGAUUAGCUAGUUGGUUGAGGUAAUGGCUCACCAAGGCGACGAUCAGUAGCUGGUCUGAGAGGAUGAUCAGCCACAUUGGGACUGAGACACGGCCCAAACUCCUACGGGAGGCAGCAGUGGGGAAUCUUGCGCAAUGGGCGAAAGCCUGACGCAGCCAUGCCGCGUGAAUGAUGAAGGUCUUAGGAUUGUAAAAUUCUUUCACCGGGGACGAUAAUGACGGUACCCGGAGAAGAAGCCCCGGCUAACUUCGUG
rnacentral:rRNA from 1 species